rnacentral:ncRNA from 2 species
CGCAUAUUUGUGGAAACAGGUAUUUUAGAGCCACUCUAAAAUUUAAAAGGGAAGAACGGUGAAAUGCCGUCGCGGUCCCGCCACUGUAAGGGGAAACACUCUCAUUCACAUCCGGCACGAAGCCACUGGAACUAAGACGUUCCGGGAAGGAGCCGGUAUGGACGCCCCGAGCCAGGAGACCUGCCUGUUUUGACAGCACUGA